AUGGAGGUGUUCUACUACCUCGUCUUCGGCGGCCUCGCCGCCGUCGUGGCGGCGCUGGAGCUCGGCAAGUCCGGCAAGGACCGCGUCGCCACCCCGACGGCCUUCAACUCCUUCAAGAACAACUACGUCCUCGUCUACUCCCUCAUGAUGUCUGGGGACUGGCUGCAGGGGCCCUACGUGUACUACCUCUACAGCCAGUACGGGUUCGACAAGGGCGACAUCGGCCGCCUCUUCAUCGCCGGCUUCGGCUCCUCCAUGCUCUUCGGCACCAUCGUCGGGUCGCUCGCCGACAAGCAGGGAAGGAAGAGGGCGUGCAUCACCUACUGUAUCACCUACAUCCUCAGCUGCAUCACGAAGCACUCCCCGCAGUACAGGAUUCUGAUGAUUGGCCGUGUGCUUGGAGGCAUUGCAACAUCGCUGCUCUUCUCGGCGUUCGAGUCGUGGCUCGUCGCGGAGCACAACAAGAGAGGUUUUGAUCCGCAGUGGCUGUCAAUAACAUUCUCCAAGGCUAUAUUUCUUGGGAAUGGCCUAGUUGCCAUUGUCGCAGGGCUAUUUGCAAAUCUACUGGCUGAUAACUUGGGUUUUGGCCCUGUCGCUCCAUUUGAUGCUGCUGCUUGCUUCCUAGCAAUAGGCAUGGCAAUCAUCUUAUCGUCGUGGGGUGAGAACUAUGGAGAUGCAUCUGAAGGAAAGGACUUGAUGGCCCAGUUCAAGGUUGCAGCUAAAGCCAUUGCUUCCGAUGAAAAGAUUGCAUUGCUUGGAGCCAUACAGUCAUUGUUUGAGGGUUCAAUGUACACUUUUGUUUUCUUGUGGACUCCUGCUUUGAGCCCAAAUGAAGAAGACAUUCCUCAUGGCUUCAUAUUUGCCACAUUCAUGCUCUCCUCGAUGUUGGGUAGCUCAAUUGCAUCUCGUCUAUUAGCUCGGAAGAUGAAGGUCGAAGGUUAUAUGCAGAUUGUGUUCUCAAUAUCAGCUUUCACUCUUUUCCUCCCUGUUGUUACCAAUUUCAUAGUACCCCCCUCAGAGAAAGGUGGAAGCAUCUCCUUCGGAGGCUGUGUACAGCUUCUUGGUUUCUGCAUAUUCGAGUCAUGUGUUGGCAUAUUCUGGCCCUCAAUCAUGAAGAUGAGAUCUCAAUAUAUCCCCGAGGAGGCGAGAAGCACUAUCAUGAACUUCUUCCGCAUACCACUUAACCUGUUUGUAUGUGUGGUGCUUUACAAUGUGAAUGCCUUCCCAAUCGCUGUCAUGUUUGGCAUGUGCUCCAUUUUCCUAUUCAUCGCAGCAAUUUUGCAGAGGCGGCUGAUGUCCGUGUCCGACCUUCACAGAUCAACUAAAGCCGCAGAGAUGACAGCAGAAGAUGAGCCACUAAACCCUUGA
rnacentral:rRNA from 1 species